UGCAACACAAAAAGACAGCCAAACGAGGUCUCUGGAAUGUUAAAAACAUCAAAGCUAGUGAGUGACUCAACCACUCCUAGAUCUGUUAAAUUUUGUGUAGACAGAAUGUCAUCGUUGCUGGAAAGAAUCCUUCACUAAGCCUCCCUUCCAUAAGAGGCGUCAGAAACAAAGGCAUUGGGUGUAAACAAAAUUGUGGGAAGGCACGAGCCCUAAAACUCUUAUUAAACGUUGGCUACAUUCAAACAAUUCUUAUAGCUGACCACCUUGUACAAGCUGGUAAAUGCACAUUUGCGGGGUGGUAAGUUUCUUGAGCAUGCUUGUCAAGGAUGAGCUUGCCUAUGGCCACAUACCCACAACUAUCUUCAUCCACCACAUGCCCACGUUAUCUUCAACCACCUUAUGCUUAUGCUUUGUACUUAGUUUAGCAUGUUGAUUUCAUUUCGUUCUUGUUUUCCCUUCAAAUGACCACUCAGGCGCUCACUAUCUUCUAUAUGCUAGCUAGUCACAUUUAGGAUUGUUUAGAAUGUACUAUAGGGAAACCCACUAGUCAAACCCCCCACUAAGUUUUGUCAAACACCCAACUAAGUUUUGUUGUACUCUUUACAAACCAAGCUUUCUUGUUAUUGUCAGUCUUCGAUGCUCUUUAAUAAUGUUUUCAAUGCUUCUUUCUCUCACGUUAUACAAAACCAUUUUUUCACAAAACGUGAGUGGAGACUACCCCUCUAGGAAAUUUUAGAUAUUCCACCACCUCUGGAAAGAAUGAAUCAUCAACUCCAUCUUUCAAAGCCUGGUUUAAUCUCUGCAAGUCAAAUGGGUUUGAAAAUUCCUCAAAUGAUAAAUAGCCCUUGGUCAAUGGAGGAGGCUCGAUCUGUUCAAAAUCAUCUACAUGUAAGAAAAAAUUCCCUCGGUAUAGUCUAUUAUUUCUAAUGUAGCUUGAACAAAACCACGUUGGUUUCCUUUUACUUGAAUUUUUGCUUCAUAAACAUUUAAGGGCUGUUUGAGGUUAGUGUAUUUACCGUGGGGUUGGGCUUUCUUAACCCUAACAAUUGUUUGGGCCUAGGUUUAUAGAAACCCUAGUUUUAGGGUUUCCAUAAUACCCGUUUUAUCCCUUAAUCCCCCUUCCUCAACCUGCCGAUUUCUCUUCUUCUUUCUCUCCUUCAACCCGUGUUUAGGGUCUCCUUAAUCCAUGUUUCCUCCCUUCUUCCUUCCUCGAUUUUUCAAAUGGAUGCUAGCCUCUCCAUUUUCAUAUCAGCAUAGAACUUCUGAAUGAAAGUCUCAGCCCUCGGGUCAAUCGAAUCAUCAUCAUCAAUCGAAUCCAACAACUCCAGAAAAGCUUCCUCCAUGUCGUAAUCUCCAUCUCCUUCCUUUUCUUCACCUCCAGAACCACCAAUAAUCCAUCAACCGGACACACAAAGCUUGCGUAUUCUCAUCGACAGCAAUCCACAAACUCCUCAACCAACAACAGACCCAUUGACGUUUUCAGACUUUUCUGGCUUUGUUUUCUGCAAGAUUGCUUUUUCUUGUAGGUUUACAUGUUAACCGAGAUCAUUAGCCUCCAACGCUUUAAAGCAUAUGUCAAAUUAAGCAAUUUUGGAAAGGUUGAAUGGAACAAUAGGUAAAAUGCUUGUAAUCUAUUAUUUCAUUUAAUACUGAGCUUUAUUACUAAAACAUAUGGUACGCGAAUGUAAGAAGAUGUGAAAACUAUUUUAUUGUAGGGGAUUUUCAACAUUCACACGCCAUUGUUGCAGCUUGUUCUUCUCUUUACCUUGUUCUGUUUUCAAGUACUUUUGGAAGAGAGGAAUUUGUAUAAGGAUUACUUUUGCUUCAGUGUUCCAUUCCAAUGGGUUCUCCUUUUUAUUUACCUCUCUUUUAUGCCUAUGAUUGUGCUUUGUGUUUAUCUUUUUAAAGUGUUCCAUUAUUUGUUUUUGAGAAGCAUGGUCUGAUUGUGUGCCUCUACAUAUGAUUACCAAAAAAUAUUUAACACUUGAUAAAUAAUUUUGAGAAGCAUGCUCAGAUUGUGUUCCAUUAUUUUUCUUUUUUUGCUAAAACUUGAUAAAUUCUAUUGUAGGUCGUUGCUUGCAAGAAUUAUUUGGUGGAACUUAUUAUGAGGCUUCAUGAAGUUUUAACACUUGGAAAGACAUAAUUAUUAAGGAUGAGAACAUAAUUUAAUGUUUUAGAGUACUCUUAUUGUUAGUAAUUUUAGUUAUAUUUGUAAAUUGAGAGUAAUUUGUGGAGAGGCAGGAAUAGUCAUACUACUCUUGUUGGCGUGAAUUAGUUAAUUGUUUUGUUUAUUGAAAGUUGAGUUGUUGUGUAUACGAAUAUUGUAAAUUCUGUAUAGUAUUGUAAAUUAUGUAAAUAUGACUUGUUGCUCAAGAAUGAAAUUAUUGUUAAUGUUGGAGAGUUCA